rnacentral:lncRNA from 1 species
AUGAACCACAAAUCUCCUGGCGUUAACCAUCUCCAGUCCUCUCCAGCGAUCUUCGGCGCUUCUACCACUGACUUCUCCUUUACUCAUGUCGCGCCUGCCUUCAUCUCAAUUCGAUUUGUGAUUCGAACUCAGAGGACUGUUGCAAGUUGCUGUGAAAACGAUGAUGUAUUUCAGAGCUUCUACAAAAUUAUUGUUACGGAGGAUCGAAGAUUGAAGGUGUAA